rnacentral:lncRNA from 1 species
GGAGGGAAAGGGAGGGAGAAGGGGAAUAGCAUGGAUGGUGGAAGGAGACCCUCAUCAUUAUACAAAAUAGAUGUAUGAAGAUGUCAAUUUGGUGUCAACAUACCUUAUAUACAAACAGAGAUAUGAUAAAUUGUGGUAUCAAGGUGAUUUUAAGAAUUGUAAUGCAAAAAAAUAAUAAGAGAAAAAAAUAUAAAAAAUAUAGAAUGAGUGAAUAGCAGUAAUUUUAGAGAACAUGAAAUUCAUCAAGGGACAAUAUGAAAAAAUGGAAUACAAUAUUAGGUAUUAUAUGCUCUUUUUGCUCAAUCAAUUAAUGGAAUAGAGGGGUUGUUUGUAACCCAAGUAGUAUCCAUUGCAGGUAGAAUUAAAGAAUAGGGAUACUAUCCUCAAAUGACCCACUAAUGUGUAAGUUCUGUGAGAAAGAUAUUUGAAUGUAUCCAUGUGUUCCAUGUAUCCAAAAGCAUAGGACAGUGCCAUAACACCCAACUAAUUUGUCCUGCCUGGACCAGCCUCAUUUCUAGGGUAUCUCUCUGAGCUCUGCUCAGUUUAGCAUUAACCUAUCUCCAUCUGUGGAAAUUAAAAAUGCCUCUUACAAUUUAAUAGGCAUUCAGUAAGCUAAUGAGAAGAAAUGUUUUAUUUUCUCCUCAACAGAAAGCAAAUAAUUACCAUAGUAUUAUAUUUAGCUAAGAUUUUCAUUACUUCAGUGUAGGAAUUUCCUCCAUUUUAAAAGUAAAAGCACAAGUG